rnacentral:rRNA from 1 species
CGGUGUUUAACUGGCGUGAUGUGGGACGUCCUACCGGUGGGCUUAGCCUCGCGAGGGGCGGCCCAACUAAUAUCCCGUCGCGGUGCUCUUUACUGAGUGUCGAGUCGGGCCGGUACGUUUACUUUGAACGAAUUAGAGUGCUUAAAGCAGGCUAUCCUCGCCUGAAUACUGCGUGCAUGGAAUAAUGGAAUAGGACCUCGGUUCUAUUUUGUUGGUUUUCGGAACCCCGAGGUAAUGAUUAAUAGGGACAGAUGGGGGCAUUCGUAUUGCGACGUUAGAGGUGAAAUUCUUGGAUCGUCGCAAGACGGACAGAAGCGAAAGCAUUUGCCAAAAAUGUUUUCAUUAAUCAAGAACGAAAGUUAGAGGUUCGAAGGCGAUCAGAUACCGCCCUAGUUCUAACCAUAAACGAUGCCAGCUAGCGAUCCGCCGAAGUUCCUCCGAUGACUCGGCGGGCAGCUUCCGGGAAACCAAAGCUUUUGGGUUCCGGGGGAAGUAUGGUUGCAAAGCUGAAACUUAAAGGAAUUGACGGAAGGGCACCACCAGGAGUGGAGCCUGCGGCUUAAUUUGACUCAACACGGGAAACCUCACCAGGCCCAGACACCGGAAGGAUUGACAGAUUGAUAGCUCUUUCUUGAUUCGGUGGGUGGUGGUGCAUGGCCGUUCUUAGUUGGUGGAGCGAUUUGUCUGGUUAAUUCCGAUAACGAACGAGACUCUAGCCUGCUAAAUAGGCGUACCUUAUGGUAUCGCGAAGGCCCCCGGCUUCGGCCGGUGGGUUUUACUACCAACGUACAAACAAAUCUUCUUAGAGGGACAGGCGG